rnacentral:rRNA from 1 species
AUUGAACGCUGGCGGCAGGCUUAACACAUGCAAGUCGAGCGGAGAUGAGGUGCUUGCACCUUAUCUUAGCGGCGGACGGGUGAGUAAUGCUUAGGAAUCUGCCUAUUAGUGGGGGACAACAUUCCGAAAGGAAUGCUAAUACCGCAUACGUCCUACGGGAGAAAGCAGGGGAUCUUCGGACCUUGCGCUAAUAGAUGAGCCUAAGUCGGAGUAGCUAGUUGGUGGGGUAAAGGCCUACCAAGGCGCCGAUCUGUAGCGGGUCUGAGAGGAUGAUCCGCCACACUGAGACUGGAACACGGCCCAGACUACUACGGGAGGCAGCAGUGGGGAAUAUUGGACAAUGGGGGGAACCCUGAUCCAGCCAUGCCGCGUGUGUGAAGAAGGCCUUAUGGUUGUAAAGCACUUUAAGCGAGGAGGAGGCUACUGAGACUAAUACUCUUGGAUAGUGGACGUUACUCGCAGAAUAAGCACCGGCUAACUCUGUGCCAGCCGCCGCGGUAA